rnacentral:lncRNA from 1 species
UCAUCUGAAGUAAGGGAAACGGAGGAAAAAGGACAAAUGACCUGCCCAGAGACUGAAUUGUAACUCCAGCCAGCACCCCAAAGCACAGGGACAAGUGGGUCACAGGUAGUAACUAAGAAAACACAGACCGCACCUCAGGGGUGUCAUACCUGAGACUGGGUUGUUAUACAAAAAGCACAAGGCAGGCUCCCCUCACCCAGGACAGGCAGUCCCCUCACUCACCCAGGAAAGGCACUCCCCUACCAAAGCCAGCCCACAGACCAGGACAGCCCCUGAGGUCGCUCACCUGCACUGGGAGCCAACUUUCAAGGAUAGCUUGAGGAAGUUCUGCUUCUGACCUGCACACCUGCUGUCCUCCACACCCCGUCUCCACCUACUUGAACCUGGGGCUGUGGUGGGAGGAGCAGGCUGCUCUCUAGCUGCUGCUCUGGCAUCUACUAAUUUUACUCUAUCUCAUUAAUUCCAGGCUUACAUCUUGCUCCUGUGGAGGGAGGAAGAGCAGCGUCCCUAGUUGUCAGGACGGACUUUGGAACUGACCUGGGGAUGACAGAGAAGGCAGGACUAGGGACACCCUCCCGCUUACUGUGGACCUUGUCCUCUGCCCUUCUUACUUGGGCCAGGCCAGAUGGAGUCAAGUAACAAGUGACUGAGCGUCCAGAGGCUACAGGGCUGGGUGCUGCAGAGCUGCAGAGCUGCAAAUGUAGCC